CCUACGGUAGGCAGCAGUGGGGAAUUUUGGACAAUGGGCGAAAGCCUGAUCCAGCAAUGCCGCGUGCAGGAAGAAGGCCUUCGGGUUGUAAACUGCUUUUGUACGGAACGAAACGGUCUGCUUUAAUACAGUGGGCUAAUGACGGUACCGUAAGAAUAAGCACCGGCUAACUACGUGCCAGCAGCCGCGGUAAUACGUAGGGUGCGAGCGUUAAUCGGAAUUACUGGGCGUAAAGCGUGCGCAGGCGGUUAUAUAAGACAGUUGUGAAAUCCCCGGGCUCAACCUGGGAAUUGCAUCUGUGACUGUAUAGCUAGAGUACGGUAGAGGGGGAUGGAAUUCCGCGUGUAGCAGUGAAAUGCGUAGAUAUGCGGAGGAACACCGAUGGCGAAGGCAAUCCCCUGGACCUGUACUGACGCUCAUGCACGAAAGCGUGGGGAGCAAACAGGAUUAGAUACCCUGGUAGUCCACGCCCUAAACGAUGUCAACUGGUUGUUGGGUGCAUUAGUACUCAGUAACGAAGCUAACGCGUGAAGUUGACCGCCUGGGGAGUACGGCCGCAAGGUUGAAACUUAAAGGAAUUGACGG
rnacentral:rRNA from 1 species